CCUACGGGUGGCAGCAGUGGGGGAUAUUGCACAAUGGGGGAAACCCUGAUGCAGCGACGCCGCGUGGGUGAAGAAGCGCCUCGGCGCGUAAAGCCCUGUCAGCAGGGAAGAAAAUGACGGUACCUGAAGAAGAAGCCCCGGCUAACUACGUGCCAGCAGCCGCGGUAAUACGUAGGGGGCAAGCGUUAUCCGGAUUUACUGGGUGUAAAGGGGGCGCAGACGGCGAUGCAAGCCAGGAGUGAAAGCCCGGGGCCCAACCCCGGGACUGCUCUUGGAACUGCGUGGCUAGAGUGCAGGAGGGGCAGGAGGAAUUCCUGGUGUAGCGGUGAAAUGCGUAGAUAGCAGGAGGAACACUGGUGGCGAAGGCGGCCUGCUGGACUGCAACUGACGUUGAGGCCCGAAAGCGUGGGGAGCAAACAGGAUUAGAUACCCCAGUAGUC
rnacentral:rRNA from 1 species